rnacentral:rRNA from 1 species
CAGUCGAGCGGACAGAAGGGAGCUUGCUCCCGGAUGUUAGCGGCGGACGGGUGAGUAACACGUGGGUAACCUGCCUGUAAGACUGGGAUAACUCCGGGAAACCGGAGCUAAUACCGGAUAGUUCCUUGAACCGCAUGGUUCAAGGAUGAAAGACGGUUUCGGCUGUCACUUACAGAUGGACCCGCGGCGCAUUAGCUAGUUGGUGGGGUAAUGGCUCACCAAGGCGACGAUGCGUAGCCGACCUGAGAGGGUGAUCGGCCACACUGGGACUGAGACACGGCCCAGACUCCUACGGGAGGCAGCAGUAGGGAAUCUUCCGCAAUGGACGAAAGUCUGACGGAGCAACGCCGCGUGAGUGAUGAAGGUUUUCGGAUCGUAAAGCUCUGUUGUUAGGGAAGAACAAGUGCGAGAGUAACUGCUCGCACCUUGACGGUACCUAACCAGAAAGCCACGGCUAACUACGUGCCAGCAGCCGCGGUAAUACGUAGGUGGCAAGCGUU